AUUGAACGCUGGCGGCAGGCCUAACACAUGCAAGUCGAGCGGUGCGGCGGACGGGCGAGUAAUUCAUAGGUGUCUGCCUGGUCGUGAGGGAUAGGGUCCGGACGCGGACGCUAAUCCCGCAUACUACCUGCUGUGCCUAGGUCGGAUUAGCUAGUUGGUGGGGGAAAGGCUUACCAAGGCGACGAUCCAUAACUGGUCUGAGAGGAUGAUCAGUCACACUGGAACUGAGACACGGUCCAGACUCCUACGGGAGGCAGCAGUGGGGAAUAUUGCACAAUGGGCGAAAGCCGGAUCGAGCCAUGCCGCGUGGGUGAAGAAGGUCUUCGGAUUGUAAAGCACUUUAAGUUGGGAGGCGUUACCAACAGAAUAAGCACCGGCUAACUACGUGCCAGCAGCCGCGGUAAUUC
rnacentral:rRNA from 1 species